rnacentral:rRNA from 1 species
CUGUCAACGGCAGCGCGGGGUAACCUGGCGGCGAGUGGCGAACGGGUGAGUAAUACAUCGGAACGUGCCCUGUGAUGGGGGAUAACUACGCGAAAGCGUAGCUAAUACCGCAUACGACCUACGGGUGAAAGUGGGGGAUCGCAAGACCUCACGUCAUAGGAGCGGCCGAUGGCGGAUUAGCUAGUUGGUGAGGUAAAGGCUUACCAAGGCAACGAUCCGUAGCUGGUCUGAGAGGACGACCAGCCACACUGGGACUGAGACACGGCCCAGACUCCUACGGGAGGCAGCAGUGGGGAAUCUUGGACAAUGGGGGCAACCCUGAUCCAGCAAUGCCGCGUGUGGGAUGAAGGCCUUCGGGUUGUAAACCACUUUUGGCGGGGGCGAAAUAUCGAGUGCUAAUACCAUUCGGUGAUGACGGUACCCGCAGAAUAAGCACCGGCUAACUACGUGCCAGCAGCCCGGGGUAAUA